rnacentral:lncRNA from 1 species
CAACUACACACGUCUGUCUUAUCUUCUUAUAUUGUCCUUUUUGCUUCCAUUCUUAAUAUUAUCCUUUAUUCCUGAAACAACUGCUAAACAAAAAACUCAUAAAAGAAACUCGUCUUGUGCUCAACUUGUUUGAAGCCCCCCCAAAAAUGGCAGAUUCUCAAGUAGAACCUGUAGCUAUGACUGGUGUAGUUAACACUGAUAAUUCUCAAAUUCGUCCACCUUCUACUCAUUCCGAACAACUCAAGGUAAUUUGUAAAUAAUCAAUUUCUCUGCAAUCUUAAUGUUUAACUAAGAUUAUAAAUUUUUUGUAAAGUUAUGGCUCCAUUCGUAGCUUUCAAAUUCUGUAAAAAUUAAGUCGAUUAUCCUCAAGUUCAUAUUACCGAGUGGAAGAAACGUUCUUAUUUGAAGGAAGAAGAGAAGAAGGGAGAGGAAGCCAAGGAAGAGAAGAAGAGAGAGGAAGAGAAAAAGAAUGGACAACAAAACCUAAACUCAAGCCUCAUCAUUACAGGAGUGGUGGUUGCUGUGAUUGGAGCUAUAUUUGCUAUAUUUAAGAAUAUUAAAAAGGCAUGAAAUGGUACGUACUGUGUUUUACUUCUUUCAAUAUUUAUGUUGUAACUGUAAAAGCAUGACAUUGUAAAUGUAAAAUCUCGUAAUAAUAUUUGAACUCUCAGUAGUCAGCGUGGGAACGUAUCAGUAUCACACGAAAGCAGGUGAAUAAAUUGGAGAAUUCAGGCUUUUACUGUUAAUUUUCGAUAACUCCUGUUUGAUUCCUUUAUUUUCUAUAUGCACCUUUAUUGAGGGCUUUGACUGAUUUGAUACAGAUUGGAUUUUAG